rnacentral:rRNA from 1 species
UACCAGCACCCCGAGUGGUCGGGACGUUUAUUGGGCCUAAAGCAUCCGUAGCCGGUUCUACAAGUCUUCCGUUAAAUCCAGCUGCUUAACAGAUGGGCUGCGGAAGAUACUAUGGAGCUAGGAGGCGGGAGAGGCGAGCGGUACUCGAUGGGUAGGGGUAAAAUCCGUUGAUCCAUUGAAGACCACCAGUGGCGAAGGCGGCUUGCCAGAACGCGCUCGACGGUGAGGGAUGAAAGCUGGGGGAGCAAACCGG